AGGGAAGAACACAUUUGAAUCCAGGACAAUGCUGGGCCUUUGCAGAUUUUCCAGGACGUUUAGACAUUGCUCUGUCCCACAAAGCCAACAUAACGCAUGUGUCCCUGGGACAUAUUACAAAGAUGGUAUCCCCCACUUCCUCAAUAUCUAGUGCCCCUAGAGAAUUUUCUGUCUAUGUAAAAAGAAGCAUUUAGAAGAUGAGGAAACUUAUUUGGGAACUUUCCUGUAUGAUCAAGAUGGAGACCAAUUACAGACCUUCAAACUUCCUGAUGAGAACGUUGGUUCCUAUGGCUUUGUGACUCUAAAGGUAAAUAGUAACUGGGGUAAUCCAGAUUACACCUGCCUUU